GGUGGCGGCGGGGCCCGAGGGCGCGCCGCUGCCCAGCGAUGGGCGCCUGCCUUGACCGCCUCUGGAGACCGCAAGCAGUUCGCCGCCGCGGGGGUGCUGGCGUGGGUCCCUCGCCGUCCGGCGGCGACUGUAAAUAGAGCCUGGAUGUUGUUUACAUGAAAGAUCCGGCGGGAGGAGUCUGCGAGGAGGAGGCGGAGGAGGAGGGAGGGAGGAGAGGAAGAGCGGAGUCCCCGCGGCGACGGCGGUCCGGGAAGGGGGAAGGGACUUGGCGGAGGUCGCCUGCUUCUGGUCGCAGCUGAACCGGCGGCUUCUCCCUGCCUUCCCGGGCCACGGAAUCUUUCCCUUCACUCAGCUACCCGCGCGCCAGCUGCCACCUUUUUGGAGAAGGACCACACCUGUGCUUAUUCUCGCUUUGGAGGAGAGGUGAGCUGAAAAAACCAGAGAAUCUUCUGUUCCCAGAGUUCUUAGCUGAUCCCCCAUCUCAGAAUUGACCAGAAAGUGCUGCUUUCACCUGCUGAUUGCACCGGGCACAUCCAUCCUCGGACCCAGGCAAGUUGCAGUCUACACAUGUGCUGGGAUUUUCUUUUCCCUCUGGACCUGCACCCGACCAACCAGCAGCUAACUGCUGGGUUUAGAUUGAAGAGAGGUGACCUCCUUAGGUCAGUGCCAUUAUUUAUUCCUUACCAGGUAUUCUAAUGGAAUUGUCUGCUCUCUUCUCGCAGCCACCCCCCCCCUUUUUUUUUUUCCUUUCCCUAAGAGCUUAGCCCAGAAUCCGGCCUAAAGCAGCCUGUCUCUGGCUCUCUUUCCCUGGGCCCCACCCUGGCCCCUCUUGGUUCUUCAGAGCCAAACACGCCUCCCAAGCAGAAGACACACCCAGCCCCAAAUCCAGCCAUUCCAAAAGGGAGGAGAAAACGGUGGAAGAGAAGGGACCGAAGGGUCCCCUUUCUGUCCUGAAUAUCCCCAACAGCAUUUUCCUCUUCGAGCCUCCUAGGUUUAUAAUCCCUUCAUUCUUCUCACCAGCUGUCCUUCCUACACUUUUUGUCCCUAGUCCUAUGAUAGAUGCUUGGGAAGGUCGGGAUGAAGAGUGGAGAAGGAGGUUGUCACCCUUCUUCCCUAGAGUGAGGCAUUUUCCAUCUCCCUAGUCUUCAUUUUUGAGUGAAAUAUGUAAAUAUGUUUGCAUGCUUAUUUGAACAUGUUUUCUUGCUUGCUGAAUAAUAGCUGGGACUCACAAGGAAGGGAAGGGAGAGGAGAGAGAUGAGAAAUGAACAUCACCCCCCUAGGUUCCACCAUAUGAGCAUCCCCAGAGUUGCGGAAGACCCUUCUGUAAAAGUCAACAGUCUCUCUUUCAUGACAUCACCACCUAAGCCCUUCCAACUUUAGCUUCAGAACAGGAAGAACGCUCAAAAUAGAACUAUCUUAGGAAUCCAGCUCCUUUAGAAGAUCAGCUUUUCAAUCAGCUGCAGGAGGAACACUGAACUUUGACAGAGGGAGGGAAAACUGAAGUGUUUGUAAUUGGUUCCUUUGGGGGAAAAGUAGAGGGGAUACUUCCCAUGCAUAUUCAGAAAAGCGUGUCUCAGGAUAACUUGGGUACCUAGACCGCUGAAUGAUUAAUAGGAUGGUUUGGGAUUCGUUUAUUGAAUUAUUCAUAUGUUUCGGUAUGUCAACAAUAACAAGCAUUUUUCAGAAUGAAUUGAAAAGAGGGGCUCCUGGAAUGUGCUCUAAGAAGUAUAAAGGAGGUUGUGGAGGGAGACUGGGAG